CCAAAGGCACAUACACAUGAACAUAAUUAA
rnacentral:piRNA from 1 species